AUGAACGCUGGCGGCGUGCCUAAUACAUGCAAGUCGAGCGAACAGACGAGGAGCUUGCUCCUCUGACGUUAGCGGCGGACGGGUGAGUAACACGUGGAUAACCUACCUAUAAGACUGGGAUAACUUCGGGAAACCGGAGCUAAUACCGAAUAAUAUAUUGAACCGCAUGGUUCAAUAGUGAAAGACGGUUUUGCUGUCACUUAUAGAUGGAUCCGCGCCGCAUUAGCUAGUUGGUAAGGUAACGGCUUACCAAGGCGACGAUGCGUAGCCGACCUGAGAGGGUGAUCGGCCACACUGGAACUGAGACACGGUCCAGACUCCUACGGGAGGCAGCAGUAGGGAAUCUUCCGCAAUGGGCGAAAGCCUGACGGAGCAACGCCGCGUGAGUGAUGAAGGUCUUCGGAUCGUAAAACUCUGUUAUUAGGGAAGAACAAAUGUGUAAGUAACUAUGCACGUCUUGACGGUACCUAAUCAGAAAGCCACGGCUAACUACGUG
rnacentral:rRNA from 1 species